GCGGAAGAAAAAAGAAAACCCACCAGGGGAUUGCCCCAGUAACGGCGAGUGAAGCGGCAAGAGCUCAAAUUUGAAAGCUGGCUCCUUCGGGGUCCGCAUUGUAAUUUGCAGAGGAUGCUUCGGGAGCGGUCCCCAUCUAAGUGCCCUGGAACGGGACGUCAUAGAGGGUGAGAAUCCCGUAUGGGAUGGGGUGUCCGCGCCCGUGUGAAGCUCCUUCGACGAGUCGAGUUGUUUGGGAAUGCAGCUCUAAAUGGGUGGUAAAUUUCAUCUAAAGCUAAAUAUUGGCCGGAGACCGAUAGCGCACAAGUAGAGUGAUCGAAAGAUGAAAAGCACUUUGAAAAGAGAGUUAAAAAGCACGUGAAAUUGUUGAAAGGGAAGCGCUUGCGACCAGACUCGCUCGCGGGGUUCAGCCGGCAUUCGUGCCGGUGUAUUUCCCCGCGGGCGGGCCAGCGUCGGUUUGGGCGGUCGGUCAAAGGCCCUCGGAAGGUAACGCCCCUAGGGGCGUCUUAUAGCCGAGGGUGCAAUGCGACCUGCCUAGACCGAGGAACGCGCUUCGGCUCGGACGCUGGCAUAAUGGUCGUAAGCGACCCGUCUUGAAACACGGACCAAGGAGUCUAACAUCUACGCGAGUGUUCGGGUGUCAAACCCGUGCGCGAAGUGAAAGCGAACGGAGGUGGGAACCCUUACGGGUGCACCAUCGACCGAUCCUGAAGUCUUCGGAUGGAUUUGAGUAAGAGCGUAGCUGUUGGGACCCGAAAGAUGGUGAACUAUGCCUGAAUAGGGCGAAGCCAGAGGAAACUCUGGUGGAGGCUCGUAGCGGUUCUGACGUGCAAAUCGAUCGUCGAAAUUUGGGUAUAGGGGCGAAAGACUUAAUCGGCAGCAAUCUGGUAGCUGGGUUCCUGACGAAC
rnacentral:rRNA from 1 species